rnacentral:rRNA from 1 species
UAUCUCUGUAGAGUCUGCAUAUCAAUAAGCGGAGGAAAAGAAACUAACUAGGAUUCCCUCAGUAACGGCGAGUGAAGCGGGAAGAGCUCAAAUUUGAAAUCUUCAAGGUUUCUACCUUGACGAAUUGUAGUUUAAAGAAGUGUUUUCUGUUGGAGUUUUGGUAAAAGUUCUUUGGAAUAGGACAUCAUAGAGGGUGAGAAUCCCGUAUUUGACCAUUACUUUCCAGCGUUGUGAUACACUUUCAAAGAGUCGGAUUGUUUGGGAAUGCAGUCCAAAAUGGGUGGUAAAUUUCAUCUAAAGCUAAAUACUGGCGAGAGAUCGAUAGCGAACAAGUACCGUGAGGGAAAGAUGAAAAGAACUUUGAAAAGAGAGUUAAACAGUACGUGAAAUUGUCAAAAGGGAAGCGUUUGACACCAGUGUUGUUUUCUCGAAAAUCAAUUAAAAAAGGCAGGAUUUUGUGUUGUAUUGACUUUAUCAGCUUUCUGCACUCUUUUCUUGUCUUUUUUAAUGCACUUUUCGUUUAACAAGUCAACAUCAAUUUCUUUUGUUGUAAAAGGGUCAUUGGAAGGUGGCUUUCUUUUCGGAGAAAGUGUUUAUAGCCUUUGGCCUCUGCAAUCGGAGAGAUUGAGGUCUGCAGCGUAGAUCCUUCGGGGUUAGAUACAUUUGUGCUAAGUUAUAGCCUUUCAUAGACAACUUGUUGACUAUGAUCAGUCAUGUAGCUUACUCGCUUAUGCUAUUUUACCUACGCUUAGGAUGUUGACGAUCAGCUGAGCGCG